AAUAAAGUKCCUGAUAAAAAGGAUUAUUCUGAUAGGAUAAAUCAUGUAGAACUCUACCUUUAUUA
rnacentral:tRNA from 1 species